UCAAGCUUUGCUUGGUGUUGGGUGUUUGUCCCGCUUUUGCGCGUGGACUCGCCUUAAAGUCAUUGGCAGCCAUGUAAUUCGGCUUUGAGCGCAGCACAU
rnacentral:rRNA from 1 species